GAUCGCAGUGACGACUCAGUAAAAUUCAAGCUCAACAGACCGGAUUGCAGAGUCCUUUCCUCUUCCUGAAAGAGUGAGAGGUCUUUGCGUGUCGAAUACCCCGCUGAACUGAGCGAUC